GGGAGUAGCAGAGGGGAGGUAGAAACAGACUCCUGGUUAAGCAGAGAGUGAGACAUGGGACUCGAUCCCAGGGUACUGAGAUAGAGCCCUACAUCGGGCUCCCUAUUCACAGGAAGCCUGCUUCUCCUUCUCCC
rnacentral:lncRNA from 1 species